AACUCUCGCGUGGACGACGUCUCGUACCCACGGCCCACGAGCCGUCGCAUGCGACCGGAGAUGGGAGUGGAGAGCGGCGGCCGCCGGCCGGUGGGAGGCGGAAGCACACGGUCCUCUGCGCCUCCGCCGGGCCUCGCCCUCGCCGACAUCCCAGAGCGGCGCUCACAGGUGGGACCGUACGAGCUGUGACUCUGAGCCUGCGAACAACAGUUUUCAGGCCAAGUCAAAGUGCCAUUGCCAACCUCGCUAAUGGGAUAUGGCAUCAGUAGUUGGAUCAACGUACUAUCCUAGGAAGUUGUCUGUGAAAGCGUCCUCUGUUGGUCUUGUUUCAAUUUCAUCAUCCAGAAAUUUGAUUCAGAAAAACCUCUACAAAUUUGAUUGUAGACAAUAGAAUGUGAAUAUAAAAUCUUGUCUUGGCUUCCAAGGACAGUGAAAGCUUUAGACUAUGUCAGCAAGAAGCCAAGAACUUGUAGAGGAUUAUGUUACAGUUGGAUCUUCCAAAAUAAACACCAAGAUGGUUCGGUGUGA